ACCUGCUUGGUCGCGUCUGAGGGGGCUUGUAGGUGGCUCUGGCUGAAACAGGCGCCUGCGAGAGUCUGUAGGAGGGAAACCGCCAUGGACGAUCAGGGUUGCCCUCGGUGUAAGACCACCAAAUAUCGGAACCCCUCCUUGAAGCUGAUGGUGAAUGUCUGCGGACACACUCUUUUUCAACUUGACCAACAAUGUGGAUUUGGACAACACCAAAAAGAAAAUGGAGAUAUACCAAAAGGAAAACAAAGAUGUUAUUCAGAAAAAUAAAUUAAAGCUG
rnacentral:sRNA from 1 species